AGAGCGAACGCUGGCGGCAGGCCUAACACAUGCAAGUCGAACGGACCCUUCGGGGUUAGUGGCGGACGGGUGAGUAACACGUGGGAACGUGCCUUUUGGUUCGGAAUAGCUCCUGGAAACGGGUGGUAAUGCCGAAUGUGCCCUUCGGGGGAAAGAUUUAUCGCCAUUAGAGCGGCCCGCGUCUGAUUAGCUAGUUGGUGAGGUAAAGGCUCACCAAGGCUACGAUCAGUAGCUGGUCUGAGAGGAUGACCAGCCACAUUGGGACUGAGACACGGCCCAAACUCCUACGGGAGGCAGCAGUGGGGAAUCUUGCGCAAUGGGCGAAAGCCUGACGCAGCCAUGCCGCGUGAAUGAUGAAGGUCUUAGGAUUGUAAAAAUUCUUUCACCGGGGACGAUAAUGAACGGUACCCGGAGAAGAAGCCCCGGCUAACUUCGUGCCAGCAAGCCGC
rnacentral:rRNA from 1 species